rnacentral:rRNA from 1 species
UACGUAGGGUGCAGGCGUUAAUCGGAAUUACUGGGCGUAAAGCGUGCGCAGGCGGUUUGCUAAGACAGGUGUGAAAUCCCCGGGCUUAACCUGGGAACUGCGCUUGUUACUGGCAGGCUUGAGUGUGGCAGAGGGGGGUGGAAUUCCACGUGUAGCAGUGAAAUGCGUUAGAGAUGUGGAGGAACACCGAUGGCGAAGGCAGCCCCCUGGGCUAACACUGACGCCUCAU